rnacentral:rRNA from 1 species
AUUGAACGCUGGCGGCAUGCUUUACACAUGCAAGUCGAACGGCAGCGCGGGCUUCGGCCUGGCGGCGAGUGGCGAACGGGUGAGUAAUGCAUCGGAACGUGCCAGUAGUGGGGGAUAGCCCGGCGAAAGCCGGAUUAAUACCGCAUACGACCUGAGGGGGAAAGCGGGGGACCGAAAGGCCUCGCGCUAUUGGGGCGGCCGAUGUCGGAUUAGCUAGUUGGUGGGGUAAAGGCUUACCAAGGCGACGAUCCGUAGCUGGUCUGAGAGGACGACCAGCCACACUGGGACUGAGACACGGCCCAGACUCCUACGAGAGGCAGCAGUGGGGAAUUUUGGACAAUGGGGGCAACCCUGAUCCAGCCAUGCCGCGUGCGGGAAGAAGGCCUUCGGGUUGUAAACCGCUUUUGUUCGGGAAGAAAUCCUCUGGGCUAAUACCCCGGGGGGAUGACGGUACCGGAAGAAUAAGCACCGGCUAACUACGUG